rnacentral:lncRNA from 1 species
CUCAAAGCUAAUGCAUCACAAGGUUCCCUUCGAGAUUCUACAAUUGCAGCUGAAGCCAGGCCCAUCUCAUCUUUCAACCUGAAAAAAUGGUGUGGGAAAGAAUGAGAAUCCACUAUUUGUAAAGCAUUCAAUUCUUGAUUUUCUCCUUCAUAGAACAAAAUUGAGAAGGCUCUGUGCCUGUCAUUUGCAAAUACAAAUACCAUCACCCUCCAAGAAAGAUUGAGAAACAACAAAAAUAAAUAUUAAACAAAAAAAGUUAUCUAUAGCUAUCUACGCUUUGUUGAAGCAAGAUAAGGCCUUUACCACGCUUUGUCCUUGCAACUCACCCUCGGCAGCCUCUGUUCAUUUUUUCACACACAAACGCAUGCCAUUAGUAUACAUCAGGAUCCGUAGAGCGUAGAAUGAAUAAUUAGCAAAGAAAGAAAGUAGUUGAAUCUAUAGAGAUGGUCAUCAUACCUGAGCAUAAGUAAAACAUUGAAAUUACAAGAAUGAUAAGUGCAAGUGCCAUGACUAUAAUGGUGUGAAAGUUAAUAUGAAUGUGAUGAAGCUGGUACUGAAUACUCAACCUUUUGUCCUUUUAUGAGAUCAAGGCACAAGUUCAACAAACGUGAGAACUUAUAGUAGGCCACCACACAGAUAUCUAAUAAUGGAAAAGAAGAAAGUGUGAAUAAGUGGUUUGGUUAACAAAAUAGGAAAAACUUUUUUUAAGAACACUUUUUUAAUAACUUUUUGACAACGCAUACGUGGUAGUUUGUGAUUGGUCUGUUUUAAAUAUUUUUUAAACAUAAAUUCAAAUAGAUCAAUAAAAUAUUCAUACGUGUCCUGUUGUCAAAAAAAUUAUAAAAAAUAUUGUCAAAAUAUCACUGUCCUAACAAAUAACAUCAGUUUAUUCGGUAGUAGGUUGUGACAAAUUGACUCUCAGACCAAAUAGAGUUUGCAAACCAUCUAACUUUUGAAGCUUUUUGAACACAUUUGCCAUAACAUCGGGAAGUUUCCAAAAUAUUGUAAGAAUGGAGAUGCGGGGUAUCGAUCCCCCACAACCUCAGGACGCCAGCGGCGGAGGAUCAGCACACUCCCUUGUAAGAAAUAAACCCCAACAUGGUGGCGGAGGAGGAAAGCGUGAUCAGUGAAGGGGAGGAGAAGAAAAAGAAGAAGAUGAAAAAGAAAGAAAAGGAAGUAAGGACUUUUCACUCUAUACCUGCUGCGGCUGCUACAACGAAGGCACAGUUCCAGUCAUAGUUUCAGUCAAAACUCUUUUAACUUCAAUUCAACCUUGUUUCUAUAACGGUUCCUAAGUAUACCACCUCCGUCAAUGUGGCUAGUGUAUCUUUAAGAGAAUGUAUUUUAGUUUUACUCACUUGGAACUAUAUUUCAUGUUACUACACACAAAACAAACAUGACAUUAUUAUUACGAUACUACAUACUACAUUUAUAAUUAACAAUAUUAGUGUAGUUACAAACUAAAGUGUUUGGGGUAAUCGUCAUGCGACGUUUAGACUAGACAAUGAAGGUUUAUGAUACUUUCGAUAUAAUACAAAUCUCUGAUAUCGUUACAGGAACUGCAUCAUCAAUGUAUAAGAUACUAUAAAUCAAAGGAGUAUUAAUCAAUGUAUUCAAUUUCAAAUAGAAAACUAAUGAUCCCUUAAUGAAAUAAUGUAACACUUAAAAACAAAAAGUAAUAAUUGUCGGAUAUGGGACAUCCUCGAACUCAAUACAUUUUUCAUUCAAUAAAUCAAAUAUCUCUAAAUAAUAAAAUUAAACAAAUAUCUCUAAAUCAUACAUAAUUUAUAAAUAACAAAUAAUAAUCAAAUUCAAAAGUAAAAUGAAAUAAGUCAACUUAGAUGGGAUGAAGAAUAGCAUUAAGAGAAUAGGGUGACAAAUGAUGUGAGUGUACUAUGUGUCAAUGCUGAGAAUACGA